CUUUCUUUGCUGGCGACCGGCGCACGGGUGAGUAACACGUAUCCAACCUGCCCUUUACUCGGGGAUAGCCUUUCGAAAGAAAGAUUAAUACCCGAUAGCAUAAUGAUUCCGCAUGGUUUCAUUAUUAAAGGAUUCCGGUAAAGGAUGGGGAUGCGUUCCAUUAGGUUGUUGGUGAGGUAACGGCUCACCAAGCCUUCGAUGGAUAGGGGUUCUGAGAGGAAGGUCCCCCACAUUGGAACUGAGACACGGUCCAAACUCCUCGGGAGGCAGCAUG
rnacentral:rRNA from 1 species